rnacentral:rRNA from 1 species
GACGAACGCUGGCGGCGUGCUUAACACAUGCAAGUCGUACGGUAAGGCCCUUUCGGGGGUACACGAGUGGCGAACGGGUGUGUAACACGUGAGUAACCUGCCCACUACUUUGGGAUAACGCUAGGAAACUGGUGCUAAUACUGGAUAUGUGCUCCUGCUGCAUGGUGGGGGUUGGAAAGCUCCGGCGGUUGUGGAUGGACUCGCGGCCUAUCAGCUUGUUGGUGGGGUAGUGGCCUACCAAGGGGGCGACGGGUAGCCGGCCUGAGAGGGUGACCGGCCACAUUGGGACUGAGAUACGGCCCAGACUCCUACGGGAGGCAGCAGUGGGGAAUAUUGCACAAUGGGCGCAAGCCUGAUGCAGCAACGCCGCGUGCGGGAUAACGGCCUUCGGGUUGUAAACCGCUUUCAGCAGGGACGAAGCUUUUUGUGACGGUACCUGCAGAAGAAGCACCGGCUAACUACGUG